ACUCCUACGGGAGGCAGCAGUAAGGAAUAUUGGUCAAUGGACGGAAGUCUGAACCAGCCAUGCCGCGUGCAGGACGACUGCCCUAUGGGUUGUAAACUGCUUUUGUCGAGGAAUAAACCUCACUACGUGUAGUGAGGAUGAAUUACUCGAAGAAUAAGGAUCG
rnacentral:rRNA from 1 species